GAUGAACGCUGGCGGCGUGCCUAAUACAUGCAAGUCGAGCGAACAGAUGAGGAGCUUGCUCCUCUGACGUUAGCGGCGGACGGGUGAGUAACACGUGGAUAACCUACCUAUAAGACUGGGAUAACUUCGGGAAACCGGAGCUAAUACCGGAUAAUAUAUUGAACCGCAUGGUUCAAUAGUGAAAGACGGUUUUGCUGUCACUUAUAGAUGGAUCCGCGCCGCAUUAGCUAGUUGGUAAGGUAACGGCUUGCCAAGGCAACGAUGCGUAGCCGACCUGAGAGGGUGAUCGGCCACACUGGAACUGAGCCACGGUCCAGACUCCUACGGUAGGCAGCAGUAGGGAAUCUUCCGCAAUGGGCGAAAGCCUGACGGAGCAACGCCGCGUGAGUGAUGAAGGUCUUCGGAUCGUAAAACUCUGUUAUUAGGGAAGAACAAAUGUGUAAGUAACUAUGCACGUCUUGACGGUACCUAAUCAGAAAGCCACGGCUAACUACGUG
rnacentral:rRNA from 1 species